AGAGCGAUCACAAAGAAACGCAAAUGUGGGUCUUUUAAGACAUCUCGCACGAUUUUGCUCGAAGUAAAUAUAGAAUUCGGUGAAAAAAGUGUGAAGCAGACUUUUAAGAAGGAUAAUUAAUGAUGGUGAGUUGUAUAGACGGGAAAGCAAGAAAAAUCCAAUGAUAUAAAAAGACACAUCAAAGAUCGCCUAACAUAAGCUAAAAAACAUCUGAAUAAAAACAUGCAGUUUUGAAUGAGAGUCUUUUGGAGUGAUGAAAUAAAGGUUAACCGCAUUGGAACCGAUGACAAAACAUUUUUCCAUCGCCCUAAAUGUUAAAAGGACAAGCCAAAGUAUUAUCUCAAGACGAUGAAACUAGGAGGAUAGGAUUUGAUGGUCUGGGGCGCAUUUUCCUGGCAUGGUAAGGACCCAUUGGUUAGGUGGAUGGCAGAAUUGAUAAAUUCUUUUUUCUUAAUAU